UCCGGCAACUUCCUCCACCUUGACCGGGAGGAGGGCCUUGUGCGACGAUCUCAGUCCCGCGGGGCCUGGGAGGUAGCGGCCGUGAGCGCUGGCCCGCCGCUGCGGGACGCACUCCCCGGCCUGUGCACUGAGCGCGGGCUGCCGGGCACCCGGCUACGUCCCAGCCCUGCGGCUCUAUCGCGCUUGUCAUCUGGGUUCUCCGGUGCAGGGGCGGGCCACAGCGCCGCCAUCGCUCAGAGCCCAGGGAAAGAUGAUCCCGCGACCGUCCGGCCAAAAGCAACCCCGAGACUCGGGUUCUCGAAUGAACUUGGGUCGAGACCACACGAGAAGAGCGAGUUUCGUUUUCAGGUGCUCCCACAGCAGACCCUCUUGGUCUCCCCAACCCCCAUCCUGGCAGAGCCCCGGAGCGCCACAUUUCCGGGCUCAGCUUUCUGGCAUCCCGAUUCUGUGUCCUGGUGGACACCGCCACAGCUGGGCCCUCGGGAGGAUCUGCCCUUGA
ensembl:antisense Gm10399 predicted gene 10399